rnacentral:lncRNA from 1 species
UGCUUCGGCUCUCGGCCGCUUCGCCUCCUUCCGCAGCCCCCGAGCGCACAAAGAGAGAAAGAGAAAGAAAAAGCGGAGCCCUGCGCCCGGCAAACUCCAAACCGCAAGUUCUCACUACAGAAACAACAACAACAACAACCAAUUCUGGAGGCUUUAAUAAAACCUAAUUAGAGAGCGAGAGAGGGAGAGAGCCACGUACAGAAAAACAAAGGGAAUCCCCGGUUCCUAAUUGUGAAAGUGAGUUUCAGCCCUGCAGGAUGGCGGAUGGCAGGCUCUCGAGAUUUGGGGGAAAACAAUCCACCAACAGCAGAGACAGAGGAGAAACCCCCUUUGCACUACGUCCUUGGGAGCAGCUUGCCGCUUGUGCCCGUGCGCUGGAGAGCCUGAACUCACCGGGGAAAAGCUCCCCUGAAAUGAAUGUAAAACACACUUAUUUUCACCAAGACCGAGUUUUGCAUUUUAUAUUUGCGAGUUGGCCUGUGCAGGCCUCUCUGCUGCCAAUACAGCUCUCGCCGACUUAAAAAAAGACCGGGAGGCUGGAUGCUUCUGCUACCCCUCUGCCGAGGCGCUUAAACGCUGCAGCCCCAGGAGCCGGAAAAAAAAAGAGCUCGGCUUUUGGAGACGGAGCAUCGCAUCCCGAGAACUUCCCGGGAGCCAGGUCGCGGCUCCAUCCCGGCGCGACGCGGGCAGGUGCCGUGGCGCUCCCGGCAGCCGGGGGGGGGGCCUCAAAUACACGAUUUG